GAGUUUGAUCCUGGCUCAGAUUGAACGCUGGCGGCAUGCCUUACACAUGCAAGUCGAACGGCAGCACGGGAGCUUGCUCCUGGUGGCGAGUGGCGAACGGGUGAGUAAUGCAUCGGAACGUAUCCUGGAGUGGGGGAUAACGUAGCGAAAGUUACGCUAAUACCGCAUAUUCCGUGAGCAGGAAAGCGGGGGACCUUCGGGCCUCGCGCUCUUGGAGCGGCCGAUGUCGGAUUAGCUAGUUGGUGAGGUAAAGGCUCACCAAGGCGACGAUCCGUAGCAGGUCUGAGAGGAUGAUCUGCCACACUGGAACUGAGACACGGUCCAGACUCCUACGGGAGGCAGCAGUGGGGAAUUUUGGACAAUGGGGGCAACCCUGAUCCAGCCAUGCCGCGUGAGUGAAGAAGGCC
rnacentral:rRNA from 1 species